UGAGUACGAGAUGCUACGGCAUCGAAGCAGUCUAUGUCAUACUUCCAAGAAAAGCUUGCACUGUCAUAAACAAAUAAUGCCUGUACCAUAACCGACACAGGUGGGUAGGUAGAGUAUACUAAGGGGCGCGAGAUAACUCUCUCUAAGGAACUCGGCAAAAUGACUCCGUAACUUCGGGAGAAGGAGUGCCUUAUUUAUAAGGUUGCAAUAACAAGAUCCAAGCAACUGUUUAUCAAAAACACAGGUCUCCGCUAAGUCGUAAGACGAUGUAUGGGGGCUGACGCCUGCCCAGUGCCAGAAGGUAAAAGAAGUUGGUUAGUGUAUGCGAAGCUGAUGACUGAAGCCCUGGUGAACGGCGGCCGUAACGAUAACGGUCCUAAGGUAGCGAAAUUCCUUGUCGGGUAAGUUCCGACCCGCACGAAAGGCGUAAUGAUUUGGAUACUGUCUCGGAGAGAGGCUCGGUGAAAUAGACUUGUCUGUGAAGAUGCGGACUACCUGCACCAGGACAGAAAGACCCUAUGAAGCUUUACUGUAACUUGAAAUUGGAAUUGGACUUUGCUUGCGCAGUAUAGGUGGGAAGCGUUGAAGAUAUUCUUGCGGGAGUAUUGGAGCUAUCAGUGAGAUACCACUCUUGUAAUGUUAGAUUUCUAGCUUUGAACCAUAAUCUGGUCAAAGAACAGUUUCAGGUGGGCAGUUUGACUGGGGCGGUCGCCUCCCAAACGGUAACGGAGGCGUACAAAGGUUUCCUCUGAACGGAUAGAAAUCGUAUCUAGAGUGUAAAGGCAUAAGGAAGCUUGACUGUGAGACCUACAAGUCGAGCAGGGACGAAAGUCGGUCUUAGUGAUCUGACGGUACUGAGUGGAAAGGCCGUCACUCAACGGAUAAAAGUUACUCUAGGAUAACAGGCUGAUCUCCCCCAAGAGUUCACAUCGACGGGGAGGUUUGGCACCUCGAUGUCGGCUCAUCGCAUCCUGGGGCGGUAGUACGUCCCAAGGGUUGGGCUGUUCGCCCAUGAAAGCGGUACGCGAGCUGGGUUCAGAACGUCGUGAGACAGUUCGGUCCAUAUCCGGUGUAGGCGUUAGAAUAUUGAGAGGAGCCUUCUUUAGUACGAGAGGACCGAGAAGGACACACCGCUGGUGUACCAGUUAUCGUGCCAACGGUAAACGCUGGGUAGCUAUGUGUGGUGUGGAUAACCGCUGAAAGCAUCUAAGUGGGAAGCCCACCUCAAGAU
rnacentral:rRNA from 1 species